GAUGAAGAACGCAGCGAAAUGCGAUAAGUAAUGCGAAUUGCAGAUUUCAGUGAGUCAUCGAAUCUUUGAACGCACAUUGCGCCCGCCAGUAUUCUGGCGGGCAUGCCUGUUCGAGCGUCAUUUCAACCAUCAAGCCCCCGGGCUUGCGUUGGGGCCCUGCGGCUGCCGCAGGCCCCGAAAAGCAGUGGCGGGCUCGCUGUCACACCGAGCGCAGUAGCGAUUCUCGCUCCGGGCGUCGGCGGCGGGCACCGGCCGUGACACCCCCCCACAUCCACAAGGUUGACCUCGGAUCAGGUAGGAAUACCCGCUGAACUUAAGCAUAUCAAUAAGCGGAGGA
rnacentral:misc_RNA from 1 species